rnacentral:tRNA from 1 species
GCGAAGGUGGCGGAAUUGGUAGACGCGCUAGCUUCAGGUGUUAGUGUCCUUACGGACGCGCGCUAGCUUCAGGUGUUAGUGUCCUUACGGACGUGGGGGUUCAAGUCCCCCCCCUCGCACCA